GAAAAAGGAAACAUCAUAGGUCAUUAAAACUGGCCCAUUUAUAGCAGACAAUUUUAAGUGGAGAAAAAGAGGAGAAGAGAGAGAUCUAUCAAUGAAGCUCUCAAAUCACGUGCUCCAGAGGAAAGAGCACAGGAGUUCAAGGACCUGGUUCUAGUCGAGCUCUGCCAGCCACACUACCUGCGUGAUCUUGGAAAGCAACUUAGAAAGAAAGAAGAUGAAGUUACUGGACUCAGAUGCAAUCUUUGCUGCACAAAGAAUUAACAAUAAUGCACGAAGAAACCAGAGGAACAGCAUCAGCAGCAUAAAAUAAAAACGCCACACGCAUCUCGCAACAUACAGUAACUCGGUGACGUGUAAGGUGAGGGCAAGAGCUCUACACGAUUCACGAACAGCCCCGCGAGGUCUAACUGUGCUCCAGUCUGUCGUUUUCAGUCCAUUGCUCCAUUCUCUUCCUCCUCACUAAACUCCUCCAGGCGAGGUGACACUAGGAAGUGUCACUGGAUGGGCACUAGGCAAACGUUUGCCAAAUAAAUAAAUGCAAGAAUAAAUAUCUAUAAUGUUAA